CUUCUUCUCUAUUUCUUUUUUUUUCAAGUAGUGCAAACGAGCGUUCUAUCGUGAACCCUGAUUAUCUGUGCGUGGUUAAGUCACAGUGAAUUAGUUCGUUCCUUUAUUUUAUAUACACAAGGACGAUCAGGGUUAUCACUCAUUAUCUUAUAAUUCUCGGAUAAUUCGCUAAUGGGACAUGUACGCUGUCGAUCAGCUGGUACACAUUGUAUCGGUAUUCGAUUGUCAAUACAUAUGCAUAACAAAUAAAUGAUUAGUAACGCAUAAUCGAUAUUAUAUUA